rnacentral:rRNA from 1 species
GAUGAACGCUGGCGGCGUGCCUAAUACAUGCAAGUCGAGCGAACGGACGAGAAGCUUGCUUCUCUGAUGUUAGCGGCGGACGGGUGAGUAACACGUGGAUAACCUACCUAUAAGACUGGGAUAACUUCGGGAAACCGGAGCUAAUACCGGAUGAUAUUUUGAACCGCAUGGUUCAAAAGUGAAAGACGGUCUUGCUGUCACUUAUAGAUGGAUCCGCGCUGCAUUAGCUAGUUGGUAAGGUAACGGCUUACCAAGGCAACGAUGCAUAGCCGACCUGAGAGGGUGAUCGGCCACACUGGAACUGAGACACGGUUCAGACUCCUACGGGAGGCAGCAGUAGGGAAUCUUCCGCAAUGGGCGAAAGCCUGACGGAGCAACGCCGCGUGAGUGAUGAAGGUCUUCGGAUCGUAAAACUCUGUUAUUAGGGAAGAACAUAUGUGUAAGUAACUGUGCACAUCUUGACGGUACCUAAUCAGAAAGCCACGGCUAACUACGUGCCAGCAGCCGCGGUAAUACGUAGGUGGCAAGCGUUAUCCGGAAUUAUUGGGCGUAAAGCGCGCGUAGGCGGUUUUUUAAGUCUGAUGUGAAAGCCCACGGCUCAACCGUGGAGGGUCAUUGGAAACUGGAAAACUUGAGUGCAGAAGAGGAAAGUGGAAUUCCAUGUGUAGCGGUGAAAUGCGCAGAGAUAUGGAGGAACACCAGUGGCGAAGGCGACUUUCUGGUCUGUAACUGACGCUGAUGUGCGAAAGCGUGGGGAUCAAACAGGAUUAGAUACCCUGGUAGUCCACGCCGUAAACGAUGAGUGCUAAGUGUUAGGGGGUUUCCGCCCCUUAGUGCUGCAGCUAACGCAUUAAGCACUCCGCCUGGGGAGUACGACCGCAAGGUUGAAACUCAAAGGAAUUGACGGGGACCCGCACAAGCGGUGGAGCAUGUGGUUUAAUUCGAAGCAACGCGAAGAACCUUACCAAAUCUUGACAUCCUUUGACAACUCUAGAGAUAGAGCCUUCCCCUUCGGGGGACAAAGUGACAGGUGGUGCAUGGUUGUCGUCAGCUCGUGUCGUGAGAUGUUGGGUUAAGUCCCGCAACGAGCGCAACCCUUAAGCUUAGUUGCCAUCAUUAAGUUGGGCACUCUAAGUUGACUGCCGGUGACAAACCGGAGGAAGGUGGGGAUGACGUCAAAUCAUCAUGCCCCUUAUGAUUUGGGCUACACACGUGCUACAAUGGACAAUACAAAGGGCAGCGAAACCGCGAGGUCAAGCAAAUCCCAUAAAGUUGUUCUCAGUUCGGAUUGUAGUCUGCAACUCGACUACAUGAAGCUGGAAUCGCUAGUAAUCGUAGAUCAGCAUGCUACGGUGAAUACGUUCCCGGGUCU